CCACGCGCGAGAGCAUACACGCAAGAGCAUCGCACUUGGUUAAAAAAAUAAAAUAAAUAAAAACAAACAAGAGUACGUGUGUACAACAGGAUAAUUUCCGUACGAUGUGGAAAGAGAGAUACAGACGCAUUAUAAACAUGAUACAUUUGCGUGAUCACCUGCUGGUUGAAAAAAGUCCGUGUGUGCACCACUUCCGUUAGCCUCUCUUACUGUUCCCCGAAACGAUUUUCGUAUCGGCGACAGGCCAUCUUAUUACGUUAUUACCGGCUGAAACGAAUAAAUUCUAGGUGCUCGUCGCGCGGAACAAAUAGAGAGGAGAAACGGAAGUCGGAGAUUCGCAACUGGGGAUUUGAAAAAAAAAAAUAAAAUGAAUGUAAUCGAGCGAAUUGCGGGGGUUACAGGUAUAGUUACUUUCAUGGGAAUUCCGGGGAUGAGAAUCCCAUAAAUGUUUGGUAUUUUAUUUUUCUCCUUUUAUUCCGAUGGUCUGAUGAAAUAUCACUGGGACUUACAAUCGACGAUUGUCACACGAUUUCUCGGGACUAGGUAUGAGUAAUCGACGGUUCGAGAUUUCCCUGAAAUUUAUCAUGGGCGUUACAAUGGGAAAUAAUUCGAUGAGUGAAGAAUGAUUGAGUGCAUGAUUGCAAUGACUUCCAGAAAUAUUUCAUCAUUUGGAAGAAAUGGGUCGUAAAAAAUGUUUAUUUUCAAUAUUGCUUCGUCAUCUUGGUUAUUCAAUUAAUAAAUAUGAAGAGUGAAUUUUUCAUGGAAUAAAAAUGAGACCGAUGACUACUUCACCAUUCAUUAUCCACAACAAACUGAGUGACCUCAAAAAAUAGCUUGACAAUUGCCAUAAAAACGUCAUCGAUAUCACCUCUACUAAUCACCUCGCACGUGGACUGAAUACAGCCUCUGACAAUCGAUCGUCAUCCACACAAAUCCCACAAAAAAUACUGAAGACUCCAUUGGACCCUCAUUGUGCCCCCACGUUGAGCGGACCGAGGGCAUCUGCCGAGACGUCCAUUGAGAGAUUUCCUAGAACUUCGAAAACCGGGCCGCGGGAAGUGGAUUUAUUCAAAUCACUUCUCGCAUCUGCUCUCUAGAAGGAUGAACGAGAAACUUCAGCUCCACUCGAAGACGACGAGAUUGGAGAUUGUCAGUGGAUUAUUGAAGAGGAAGAGGAAAUACAUAUGAAUGGCGAAAUGGACAGCCAGAAAAUAUAUUUCUUCGAUGAAAGAACUGUUCUGCAUAUAUGUAUCAACGAAUGGAUUGCCUUUUCCACGCCAUCAGUUGGAGAUGCAUUUCCCUGGCGUUUCAAUGGCACGAAGAUAUGCAGAGAAAUCCAUACUCCAGAUUUUAUGAUAUGGUUUAUAAUCUUCGCGUAUCAGCAGAAAAUGAUGUGCAGCUUUUACGCUUGUUCGACCAAUAAAUCGAGAUUUAAAAAAAUUUUGUCGAGCAACAAUUUUAUUGAAAUUAAAG